rnacentral:rRNA from 1 species
UUGGAGGGCAAGUCUGGUGCCAGCAGCCGCGGUAAGUCCAGCUCCAAUAGCGUAUAUUAAAGUUGUUGCAGUUAAAAAGCUCGUAGUUGAAUUUCGGGAUUAGUACGUUGGUCGUGCCUUCGGUACGUACUGGUGUUACUGAUUCCUACCUUCUGACGAACCGUCAUGUCAUUAAUUUGGUGUGGUGGGGAAUCAGGACUGUUACUUUGAAAAAAUUAGAGUGUUUAAAGCAGGCUCGCGCUUGAAUACAUUAGCAUGGAAUAAUGAAAUAGGACGUUGACCCUAUUUUGUUGGUUUCUAGGAUUGACGUAAUGAUUAAUAGGGAUAGUUGGGGGCAUUAGUAUUCAAUUGUCAGAGGUGAAAUUCUUGGAUUUAUUGAAGACUAACUACUGCGAAAGCAUUUGCCAAGGAUGUUUUCAUUAAUCAAGAACGAAAGUUAGGGGAUCGAAGACGAUCAGAUACCGUCGUAGUCUUAACCAUAAACUAUGCCGACUAGGGAUCGGAUGAUGUUAUUUUUAAUGACUCAUUCGGCACCUUACGGGAAAC